AUCCAACUGACGAGUCUCAAGUAGGACGAAACGCGUGUUGUCCUGGAU
rfam:Schistosoma haematobium scaffold131_9, whole genome shotgun sequence.